rnacentral:lncRNA from 1 species
GGAUGAACUUGAAAUUUUGUGGAGUGUUUGUAGACACAUUAAGGUUUGCCAUGGUUUUGGUUUGGUGCAUUUAUCAUGUUCCUACACUAUUUUAUGCUUGAUGGAAGUUGAUACAUGAAAUUGUGCCUUGUUUGGACUUGUAUGAGCAUGCCUUAACUUGAUGAAUUUAAUUGAAUUGCUUCCCAUUGUCCAAUUGGCCUGAAAUUUG